ACUCCUACGGGAGGCAGCAGUGGGGAAUAUUGGACAAUGGGCGCAAGCCUGAUCCAGCCAUGCCGCGUGAGUGAUGAAGGCCCUAGGGUUGUAAAGCUCUUUUGUGCGGGAAGAUAAUGACGGUACCGCAAGAAUAAGCCCCGGCUAACUUCGUGCCAGCAGCCGCGGUAAUACGAAGGGGGCUAGCGUUGCUCGGAAUCACUGGGCGUAAAGGGUGCGUAGGCGGGUCUUUAAGUCAGGGGUGAAAUCCUGGAGCUCAACUCCAGAACUGCCUUUGAUACUGAAGAUCUUGAGUUCGGGAGAGGUGAGUGGAACUGCGAGUGUAGAGGUGAAAUUCGUAGAUACUCGCAAGAACACCAGUGGCGAAGGCGGCUCACUGGCCCGAUACUGACGCUGAGGCACGAAAGCGUGGGGAGCAAACAGGAUUAGAUACCCCUGUAGUCC
rnacentral:rRNA from 1 species